CCCACACCCAAUCCAAGAACUCUGCUGCCUGUAGCAGGUAAUUUAACAGUGGUGUGCACAACAAAGGGGUUUUUCACCUUGGGGGGCUGUGUGGUGCCCCCCCAGAGUAGACUGGGAGGUUGCAUAGUC